GAGGGUGUAGGUCAGUGGUAGAGCAUGUGCUUAUUAGCAUGUACAAGGUCCUGGGUUCAAUCCCCAGUACCUCUA
rfam:Camelus ferus unplaced genomic scaffold scaffold993, whole genome shotgun sequence.